rnacentral:rRNA from 1 species
GCAGUCGAGCGGUAACAGGGGUAGCUUGCUACCCGCUGACGAGCGGCGGACGGGUGAGUAAUGCAUAGGAAACUGCCCAGUAGUGGGGGAUAGCCCGGGGAAACCCGGAUUAAUACCGCAUACGUCCUUCGGGAGAAAGCAGGGGAUCUUCGGACCUUGCGCUAUUGGAUGUGCCUAUGUCGGAUUAGCUAGUUGGUGGGGUAAAGGCCCACCAAGGCGACGAUCCGUAGCUGGUCUGAGAGGAUGAUCAGCCACAUCGGGACUGAGACACGGCCCGAACUCCUACGGGAGGCAGCAGUGGGGAAUAUUGGACAAUGGGGGCAACCCUGAUCCAGCCAUGCCGCGUGUGUGAAGAAGGCUUUCGGGUUGUAAAGCACUUUCAGUGAGGAGGAAAAGUUAGUCGUUAAUAUCGGCUAGCCUUGACGUUACUCACAGAAGAAGCACCGGCUAACUCCGUGCCAGCAGCCGCGGUAAUACGGAGGGUGCAAGCGUUAAUCGGAAUUACUGGGCGUAAAGCGCGCGUAGGUGGUUUGAUAAGCGAGAUGUGAAAGCCCCGGGCUUAACCUGGGAACGGCAUUUCGAACUGUCAGGCUAGAGUGUGGUAGAGGGUAGUGGAAUUUCCUGUGUAGCGGUGAAAUGCGUAGAUAUAGGAAGGAACACCAGUGGCGAAGGCGGCUACCUGGACCA